AUUGAACGCUGGCGGCGGGCUUAAUACAUGCAAGUCGAGCGAGCGGCGGACGGGUGAGUAAUGUCUGGGAAACUGCCUGACGGAGGGGGAUAACUACGGUAAACGGUAGCUAAUACUGCAUACCGUCCGUUGUGCUCAGAUGGGAUUAGCUCUGCGGUGGGGUAACGGCUCACCAAGGCGACGAUCCCUAGCUGGUCUGAGAGGAUGACCGGCCACACUGGAACUGAGACACGGUCCAGACUCCUACGGGAGGCAGCAGUAGGGAAUAUUGCGCAAUGGGCGCAAGCCUGAUGCAGCCAUGCCGCGUGUGUGAAGAAGGCCUUCGGGUUGUAAAGCACUUUCAGCGAGGAGGCGUUACUCGAAGAGGAAGCACCGGCUAACUCCGUGCCAGCCGCCGCGGUAAUUC
rnacentral:rRNA from 1 species